GUAGAGACUAGAGUCUCAUCUUGACACACGUUAUUGUCUUGGUGUGCUAGAGUUCUCUUAGAGAAAAUAACUGGUCCUACUCACCGACUGGCUUCUUGAUGGGUCCGUCAGCCACAUGGACAGUCACAAUU
ensembl:snoRNA small nucleolar RNA SNORA3/SNORA45 family